CCUGUCAAAAAGUUGUUUACACUUUUUUCAUUCAUGUUGUCCAAUUCUGUCUAAUCCAUCUUACCGAAUUGAUUACAAAAGUUUUCUCGUCAUUCUUUUCAAGGAUUUAAAAAUUUGAAUAAGUUCUUCUGUAUUUAACGGUUUGAAAUAAAAAUGAAGAUCUUGACUCCAGUGGAAGUGGAGGCGGCAAGCAGGACAAACAUUAUCGAAUCAACCGACCAGUCAUCAUUCAAAGCCCAUCGGCUGUCGGAAUCCAAAACUAGAACGAUUAAAGGGAUGUGUUGAUUUAGUUGUUUGUUAAACCAUUGACUGAAAAGGAAGGGACAUUUUUUCGAGAAGAUCGGUUACCGGUGUGCUUACAGUUUAUCGACAGUAUGUGACAAAUAAUAAACAAUGCACAGGAGCGUUGAAAAUCAACAAAUAUCUAGAACUGCGGAAUUCAUCUGGCUAUAUUAUUCAUAGUAACCAAACAAACAAGUUACUUACAGGAACAUUUGAGCGUUUCAUGUUUUUAAUAAGAUUAGUUUUAUUGAUAAGGAUACUUUUGAAUGAUUUUCCAAACUGGUUUGUUUUUUUUUUCCUGCGAAUAAACAGAAUGCGUUUUCUUUUUCAUAUAAA